AUUGAACGCUGGCGGCAGGCCUAACACAUGCAAGUCGAGCGGAUGAAGGGAGCUUGCUCCUGGAUUCAGCGGCGGACGGGUGAGUAAUGCCUAGGAAUCUGCCUGGUAGUUGGGGAUAACGUCCGGAAACGGGCGCUAAUACCGCAUACGUCCUGAGGGAUAAAGUUGGGGAUAUUCGGACCUCACGCUAUCCGAUGAGCCUAGGUCGGAUUAGCUAGUUGGUGGGGUAAAGGCCUACCAAGGCGACGAUCCGUAACUGGUCUGAGAGGAUGAUCAGUCACACUGGAACUGAGACACGGUCCAGACUCCUACGGGAGGCAGCAGUGGGGAAUAUUGGACAAUGGGCGAAAGCCUGAUCCAGCCAUGCCGCGUGUGUGAAGAAGGUCUUCGGAUUGUAAAGCACUUUAAGUUGGGAGGAAGGGCAGUAAGUUAAUACCUUGCUGUUUUGACGUUACCAACAGAAUAAGCACCGGCUAACUUCGUG
rnacentral:rRNA from 1 species